UAGGGUAUAACGAAAAUGGUUAUCGUGCUUGCUUUGGAUGCAAGAAGUUACAGGUUCGAGUCCUGUUACCCUAA
rnacentral:tRNA from 1 species